rnacentral:rRNA from 1 species
CGUAGGAGGCGAGCGUUAUCCGGAUUCACUGGGCGUAAGGCGCGUGCAGGUGGUUCGGUAAGUUGGGCGUGAAAUCUCCCGGCUCAACUGGGAGAGGUCGUUCAAUACUACCGAACUUGAGAGCAGAAGAGGAAGAUGGAAUUCCCGGUGUAGUGGUGAAAUGCGUAGAUAUCGGGAGGAACACCAGUGGCGAAGGCGAUCUUCUGGUCUGUUUCUGACACUCAGACGCGACAGCUAGGGUAGUAAACGGGAUUAGAGACCCCGGUAAUCCUAGCCGUAAACGAUGUGAACUUGGCGUUGGUGGGUUAAACUCCAUCAGUGCCGAGGCAAACGCGAUAAGUUCACCGCCUGGGGACUACGGCCGCAAGGUUA